AUGACGAUGACGACGACGCCGCCGCCGCCGCCGCCUGUUCGGCCGCACGCCCUCCUCGUGUCCACUCCAUUCCAGGGCCACAUCAACCCCCUCAUGCGCCUUGGCCGGCGCCUGGCCGCCAAGGGCGUGCUAGUCACCUUCACCACCGCCCUCCGCGCAGCCGUCCGCGUGGAGGAGGACGGCGACGGCCACGAGCGCGCGGGGUUCCGGUUCGAGCGCCUGCGCGGCGGCGGGCUAUGGGAGCCGGAGGAUCCACGGUUCAGCGACGCCGGCGGCAUGGCGCGCCAUGUCGAGGCCGCUGGACCGGCGGCGCUCAAGGAGCUCAUCCGCCGGGAGGCCGAGGCCGGGCGGCCGGUGACGUGCGUCGUGACCAACGCCUUCGUCCCGUGGGCGCUCCGCGUGGCUGGCGAGAUGGGCCUCCCCUGCGGCAUGCUGUGGAUCCAGUCCUGCGCCCUGCUCUCCGUGUACUACCACUACGUGCACUCGCUCGCGGCCUUUCCCGAGGCGGACGACGACGCGUCCGGCCGCUCGCUAUUGGCCAUCCCUGGGUUCCCGGACCUCGCCAUCGACGACCUCCGUCCCCACCUGAUUUACGCCUCCGACCAGGACAUGUGGCGAGAGAUGCUCUUCGGGGAUCUCGGCGGCAUCCGCGAGAGGGUAUCGUGGGUGUUCGUCAACACCUUCGACGAGCUCGAGCACGAGGCCGUCGCGGCGCUUCGCGAGCACCUUCCAGUUAUACCAGUCGGCCCUCUCAUCGAGCCGGAAAUCGAUGGGUCCUCCGAUGAGGAUGACGACGGCUGCAUCGCGUGGCCGGACGCACAGGCGCCGCGCUCGGUGGUGUUCGUUGCGUUCGGGAGCCUCGUGAAGACGGACGACGGCGAGACUGCCGAGAUAGCGCAGGCGCUUGCCAGCACGGGCCGGCCGUUCCUCUGGGUGAUGCGCGACGACAACCGCGCGGUCCUCUUCCAGGGCACCCUGGACGGCCUCACGGCGGCCACCUUGUGCGACAGAGGCAAGCUCGUCCCGUGGUGCAAGCAGGCGCACGUGCUCGCGCACGGCGGGAUCGGCUGCUUCGUCACGCACUGCGGCUGGAACUCUACCACCGAGGGGCUCGCCGCGGGCGUGCCGGUCGUUGCCUGCCCGAGGUGGUCCGACCAGAGCAUCAACGCGAAAUUUCUGGUGGAUGUGUACCGACUCGGCGUCCGUACCCCGACGCCGGUGACAAGGGAAACGCUCCAUCUAUCCAUCGAGGAGGUCAUGAGCGGGCCGGAGGCGGGAGCGAUGCGACUACGAGCGGCCAGCUGGAAGGAGAGGGCGCGUGCGGCGCUGGUCGACGGCGGCUCGUCGGAUCACGGCGUCCAAGCUUUUGCUGACCAGAUAAAGUAG
rnacentral:rRNA from 1 species